rnacentral:rRNA from 1 species
AGGACGAACGCUGGCGGCGUGCUUAACACAUGCAAGUCGAGCGGAAAGGCCCUUCGGGGUACUCGAGCGGCGAACGGGUGAGUAACACGUGAGUAAUCUGCCCUUAGCUUCGGGAUAGCUCCGGGAAACCGGAAUUAAUACCGGAUAUGACUAUGGCCGACAUCAGCCAUGGUGGAAAGUUUUUCGGCUAGGGAUGGACUCGCGGCCUAUCAGCUAGUUGGUGAGGUAACGGCUCACCAAGGCGACGACGGGUA